AUUUUUAUUGAAACAAGUGUGCAUGUUUUUUGUUCAGUUGUUGAAUUUAGGAGUUGUGUGGCUCAUUACUCCAUACUUCUUAAUGUAACCUGGAUUCUAUUUGUUGCUGAUGUAACUCGGUUGUUAUGUUGGUGUAUUAUGCAUUUGUUGUGUUAGGAUUAUGAAUUUUUCUGUAAAUUGUAGAUCAUCCUUAUUUUGAUGCAUUUGCUCCAUUUAUGUAAAUUAUUGUGCAUUCUUUAUUUUAUACUCUGGUAUAACUACUAUGUUUGCUGUCAUAUCUGAUUAAGGCUUGACCAUCAGAAUCAUUGUUCCUCUCCAGAAUAUUGUUGGAUAUCUAGAAAAAUGUAGCUUUCUUCCAAUGCUUACUAAUGAACUCCCUCGUCAGAGGAAUUCAACUCGCAAGCAACAGGUCGGUAGGUUAAGGAACCUGUUUGAAAACAAUGCUGUGCUAGUGCCAUAGGAAACAUCCUGGUUCGGGUUUUGUCCAGAUGGGGCACUCAGACCAGUUUUGCCCCCUCAACAGACAAAGCUUUACAUUGAGGACUGGAUUGGCUUGAAGAACUUGGACAGAGCUGGGAAAGUCAAGUACAUCAGUGUGCCCUGAAAUCAUAUUAAAAUCUCCAAAAAUGAUAUGAUAAAGCAUAUCAAAGAGGGUCGACGAGGUUCAAAAGUUCAGUAAACAAAGGUUGUGGGUCGUACAAAUCAGCUGAAGUGAUAAUUGAAGGAUCAACAUCUUUAUGCAUGUUCUUUUUUUUCAUAAUUUUUUUUUGGGUUCUGCAAGGGGGUGGAUUACCACAUAUACAUUCUUCAUUUCUCUUUCAUUUAAGUUAUUAUGGGGAGUUAUUAUACACAUCAAUUUGAAAUUUUAAUUAUCUGCCUGCUGUUCAGUAGUUGUGCUUCCGUGCCUCCAGUCGGUUUAGCUCCAUGAAUUUAUUUUUUUUCUUUGAGAAACUUAUCACAGCCUGAUUUAUUUAUUUUAAUACUCUAUAUUUAGUUUCAAGGCUUUUGGGUUCUGUGUUUUUCAAAUGAACAUGUCAUUACUAUGACGCAGGUAUGAGAUAUAAUUAGAAUUUUCUUUUCAACUACCAUUUUUUUUUUU